rnacentral:lncRNA from 1 species
UUUGUCAGGAAUAUUGAGUGACAUAGAUGAGCACAUUAAUGGAGAGGGAGAGGUAACACGAGAAACGGCAGCCUCCAAGGUCUUCCAUCACUCUGCAAAUUCUUACCACACAUGGCUCUGCGUAUCCCCUGACCUGACUCACUCCUCCCUAAUCUCUAAAUUCCUCCACUGUAUCUACUGGAUAUCAUAAUCUAAAGUCAGCAAAAUCUCCUAUUUUAUCAAGCCCUUUUGUAAACAUUUCUCUCUCUCUCUUUUUUUUUUUUUCACUAACUAGAUUCUCUCUGGGACACUCAAGUGUGGCUUACCCCUCUUUUAUACCAUACUUCACUAGGCCUGGAGUUAUUCUGGUAAGCAGAAUAACUCCUCCCCUUGUCCCCAAAGAUGUCCACAUUUAAACCUUAGAAUCUGUGAAUAUGUCCCCUUACAUGGCAAAAUGGACUUUGUAGAUGUGAUUAAGUUAAGGAACUUGAAAUGGGAAGAUUAUUUUGAGUUACCUAGGUAAGUCCAUUAUAAUCAUUUUGGAUUCUUAUAAGAGGGAGGCAGAAGUGUUGGAGUCAGGGAGAGAUUUGAAGAUGCUAACUGCUAGCUUUGAAGAUGGAAGAGGUCAGGAGCCAAGAAAUGCAAGCAGCCUCUACGAAGCUGGAAAAUGCGAGGAAACAGAUUUUUUU